CUAAGUUCAGGGGGUAGUCCUGCUCGAUUGGAGGUCAAAGUGUAUGAAGCGAUUUCUGGUAAGCCCAUCCCGACUGGCGUCCCCAUUGAAAGUGUGAGCUUAUAACAACGGGUCAAGCCGCCAGUACAAAGGUACAGCUUGUUGCAUUUCAACGCAGUCUAACGCAAAGACAGACGUCAAGAUCCAACCCGGAACGACCU
rnacentral:misc_RNA from 1 species